UUGGAGGCAGGGGCUCUGCCUCACCCCUGGCCUCGGGGGCAGUCAGCUGACAGGCCACUAGGGAGGCUGAGUUGCUCUUUGGGCAGAACCAUCCAGAACAAAGUGCCCGGGGCCUGGCCAGGGAAGGGAGCUUUGCUCUCCCCGCUGUCUGUGGACAGAGGACAAUCCCAGCUGGGGGCAGGUGGCCCCAGGUGCAGUCACGUAUGGCACAGCCGGUCCUCACACGUCCUGGGGUGGGACGUGCCAAGAGGUUUAGGAAGCAGUGGUGCCCAGGGCUUCACAGGCAGGAUCGUGGCUCAAACCCCGCAGCUGGAUCCAGCCAGGAAUGAAGGCCGCUUCCCUCAAGCAUGAGCUUUGUUGUAGAGCGGGCCUGGCAGGGCUGCCUGGUAGGGCCCGGAGCAGAGAGACAAGCAGGCCUGUCCCUUGUUGCACUUUCAAGUGACUUGUGACCUCCAGGGCAGCCUGUUUAGCUCCUGUACUGCAGCAGACCUAGACCCGCCCAAGCAGGCCUGCGGAAGACGAGUUAUUUAAUUGACAAAAUGUUUGUUUUUAUCCAGUAGAAAUGUCCUCGGGUCCCUUUUGAGACCAUUCAGUAAGCAUUCAGACCAUCCCGACUAAUCGUCAGGAAAGAGUGCCCCGCGGGGGUAUCAGAAAGAGAGUUAUCAGGAAAAAUUAAACAGUGACAGAGCAUUAGUAUCUGGAAGGAAGAGAGUCUUGUCACAUCAAGAGGCGGGCUCCCCAGGAUGAACCCAAACUAUGUAAAAUUUUAGAUGUCAUUAACAAAAACAGGGGGGCUGCCAAGCUGGGUGGUCAUGGUGGGCUCCUGAGGAUGGAUUCCCACCGCCCCUGCCUGUCCAGGAACCGUCUGAUGGCGACAUCACGCAGGUCUCCGGUUGGUUUAAAACAUCCCUUGUCAACAGUAUUGCAACUUAAAACCCUCUCCCCACUCCCCACCAAUCAGAGAUGUUAAAUCGGGCAAGAGAUGUGCAUUCUGGAAUUACCUUCUGCCGGAUCUCCAAACCAUUUCAGGACGUCCUAAAGUCACGUCCCUCACCAGGCUUCCUGAGACCCGGAGCCAGUAGCGUCCACACUGCUGGGUUUCACAAACACUCCUCUCUUCCUUAGCAACCUCAAGAGCAAGAUGUCCUGUUACUAGUGCAAACCACUUUUUAUUUAUUCCAGUACGGUGUUGAAUUAAUAAACUGGCCAAGACUUAGCAAUAACUGCGCCCUUAUUCCAGUCUUCACUGGUCUCAAUAUCGCAAAAGAAAGAAUCGCCUGCCCCCUUGUGGGGACCACGGGCACUGCUUCCAUGACCGUCCAGCACCGCAGCUCAGUGGGGGCACCACAGGACCAGGGGCGACCUCUAAUCCAGGCUUUGGGUGGAAUUCUGGGUGGAGGAGGGAACCUACGGCAACAUUCCCAGGUGAAUUUUCCUCCCCGGUGUUCCACACACACAAUGUGUAAUUUCUUACAAAGCCAUCAUGUGUUUUUACUGGUGUCUUUAGAUACCAACAAGACUUGUGUUUUUAAAAUGUU